UCGGGUGUGGUGCGGGGUGCACAUUGGCUUCUUGUAAGAUGUAUUCUAUCAACGUGAGAGCUGAAGAACGGGGUUCGACUCCCCGCAUCCGAA